rnacentral:rRNA from 1 species
CAGCAGCCGCGGUAAUACGGAGGAUCCAAGCGUUAUCCGGAAUCAUUGGGUUUAAAGGGUCCGUAGGCGGUCUUGUAAGUCAGUGGUGAAAGCCCAUCGCUCAACGGUGGAACGGCCAUUGAUACUGCAGGACUUGAAUUAUUGGGAAGUAACUAGAAUAUGUAGUGUAGCGGUGAAAUGCUUAGAGAUUACAUGGAAUACCAAUUGCGAAGGCAGGUUACUACCAAUUGAUUGACGCUGAUGGACGAAAGCGUGGGUAGCGAACAGGAUUAGAGACCCCCGUAGUCCCUGUCUCUUAUAC